CCUACGGGAGGCAGCAGUGGGGAAUAUUGCACAAUGGGGGGAACCCUGAUGCAGCGACGCCGCGUGAGUGAAGAAGUAUUUCGGUAUGUAAAGCUCUAUCAGCAGGGAAGAAAAUGACGGUACCUGACUAAGAAGCCCCGGCUAACUACGUGCCAGCAGCCGCGGUAAUACGUAGGGGGCAAGCGUUAUCCGGAUUUACUGGGUGUAAAGGGAGCGCAGACGGCUGUGCAAGUCUGGAGUGAAAGGCGGGGCCCAACCCCCGGACUGCUCUGGAAACUGUAAAGCUGGAGUGCAGGAGAGGUAAGCGGAAUUCCUAGUGUAGCGGUGAAAUGCGUAGAUAUUAGGAGGAACACCAGUGGCGAAGGCGGCUUACUGGACUGCAACUGACGUUGAGGCUCGAAAGCGUGGGGAGCAAACAGGAUUAGAUACCCCAGUAGUC
rnacentral:rRNA from 1 species